AGCAGCCGCGGUAAUUCCAGCUCCAAUAGCGUAUAUUAAAGUUGUUGCAGUUAAAAAGCUCGUAGUUGAAUUUCGGGAUCAAAUUGUCGGUCGUGCCUCGGUACGUACUGGCGUUAUUGGUUCCUCCCUUCUGAAGAACCGCGAUGUCAUUAAUUUGGUGUCGCGGGGAAUCAGGACUGUUACUUUGAAAAAAUUAGAGUGUUUAAAGCAGGCUCGCGCUUGAAUACAUUAGCAUGGAAUAAUGAAAUAGGACGUUUGAUUCUAUUUUGUUGGUUUCUAGGAUCGACGUAAUGAUUAAUAGGGAUAGUUGGGGGCAUUAGUAUUCAAUUGUCGGAGGUGAAAUUCUUGGAUUUAUUGAAGACUAACUACUGCGAAAGCAUUUGCCAAGGAUGUUUUCAUUAAUCAAGAACGAAAGUUAGGGGAUCGAAGACGAUCAGAUACCGUCGUAGUCUUAACCAUAAACUAUGCCGACUAGGGAUCGGAUGAUGUUAAUUUUUUAAUGACUCAUUCGGCGCCUUAC
rnacentral:rRNA from 1 species